AACCUUCGGGUUAGCGGCGGACGGGUGAGUAACGCGUGGGAACGUACCCUCUUCUGCGGGAUAGCCACUGGAAACGGUGAGUAAUACCGCAUACGCCCUUCGGGGGAAAGAUUUAUCGGAGGAGGAUCGGCCCGCGUUGGAUUAGGUAGUUGGUGGGGUAAUGGCCUACCAAGCCUACGAUCCAUAGCUGGUUUUAGAGGAUGAUCAGCCACACUGGGACUGAGACACGGCCCAGACUCCUACGGGAGGCAGCAGUGGGGAAUCUUAGACAAUGGGCGCAAGCCUGAUCUAGCCAUGCCGCGUGAGUGACGAAGGCCUUAGGGUCGUAAAGCUCUUUCGCCAGAGAUGAUAAUGACAGUAUCUGGUAAAGAAACCCCGGCUAACUCCGUGCCAGCAGCCGCGGUAAUACGGAGGGGGUUAGCGUUGUUCGGAAUUACUGGGCGUAAAGCGCACGUAGGCGGAUUGGAAAGUUGGGGGUGAAAUCCCAGGGCUCAACCCUGGAACUGCCUCCAAAACUCCCAGUCUGGAGUUCGAGAGAGGUGAGUGGAAUUCCGAGUGUAGAGGUGAAAUUCGUAGAUAUUCGGAGGAACACCAGUGGCGAAGGCGGCUCACUGGCUCGAUACUGACGCUGAGGUGCGAAAGUGUGGGGAGCAAACAGGAUUAGAUACCCUGGUAGUCCACACCGUAAACGAUGAAUGCCAGUCGUCGGCAAGCAUGCUUUGUCGGUGACACACCUAACGGAUUAAGCAUUCCGCCUGGGGAGUACGGUCGCAAGAUUAAAACUCAAAGGAAUUGACGGG
rnacentral:rRNA from 1 species